AGCGAACGCUGGCGGCAGGCUUAACACAUGCAAGUCGAGCGGGCGUAGCAAUACGUCAGCGGCAGACGGGUGAGUAACGCGUGGGAACAUACCUUUUGGUUCGGAACAACACAGGGAAACUUGUGCUAAUACCGGAUAAGCCCUUACGGGAAGGAUUAUCGCCGAAGAUUGGCCCGCGUCUGAUUAGCUAGUUGGUGAGGUAACGGCUCACCAAGGCGACGAUCA
rnacentral:rRNA from 1 species